GCCUCAUGUUAGACCUCCAUGUCGGACCAAGGAGUAUAUUUUUCUUCAUGAAAAUUGAAGCGGUUGGAAGGCUUCAGUUACUUUAAAAGGAAGGAAGAGAAUUCCAUUACAUUUGCAGUCAUAUGAAGUAGACAUUUACGUUUUGUAUAUUUUCCACAGCAAACCAGUGCAGUAUAAUUAAACACUAUUGGUGCAGAGUUUACACGUCUUGUAUCUGCUGACAUCCUGAAGUCCUUCCUGAGUGAACUUGACCUGCAUGAAGCACGGAAGCAACACGAAACAAACCUGGGACAUGACACUGAGCUCCUAAGUCUUCUUGAAUCUCUGGAUUCCGAAAGCAAAAUGCGGAGAUGACAGCCCAAUCAACGAACAUCAUGGAUGCUGCUGUAAUCCUGGAGGAGCGCAUCGUUUAGCAACUGCAUUGUUUAGUAACUACUUCACUGCCUCAACAUUAUCCGAAGGAACUGAAGUACACCUUGGAGGUCAUUCAGAAGGUACUCAUGGGCACUGGGGGAAGCACCUGCUCAGCUCGUGUUCAUGGAAUGCACAGUGUAGAGAUGUUCUUCACACCAAACAGCUGCCAUGUCAUUUCUGUUCUAACACUACAGUUAAUACAGUACAUACCUGUUUCUGGUAUCUUUUCAAGGAAUUGACGUUUUUGAACUAUUUAGAGAUGUUAAUAAUUUAAACAGAUGUGCUAAAGUGUUUGCAAUGGCAGCCACUUGCUCUCGCUGCUUGUGACGGUGCCACUCUGUGUACACGCAGGCACAUGUGGCCUGGGGUCUGAAAGAAAGACCUUACACAGCAAGUGCCUUCCAGGAAUGAAUUUGGUCAUGUUGUGAGUAUACUGAAUAAAAUGUUAUUAGAAUGUCAAAUGUGAAUUCUCAUUUACAAAGUAUAUUUUGUACAAUCUUUUGCUUGGAAAAUGUACUUGUUGAUUAAACCUGAUAUUUUUGUUGGGGAAACUUAACAUUAGUUGUUAAGACUUGAUAGAAUUUGCUGGGAAAACUUAAUUUUAGUUGUUAAAGUAUUUGUUGGGAAACGUAGUACAUGUUAGGAAAACUUCUAAUAAUUGAAGGGACAAAUAUGCAUUAGUACACCCAACAGUUCAUUAUGCUGACACCACCAAUGGAAAAGUAGGUAAAGCUCAAAAUA